rnacentral:misc_RNA from 1 species
ACGCGGCCUGACCGCUACACACAGCCACGGGAGUUCCCUCCUGGCUUCCCGCACACCCGCGGUCGCCACCGUACCUCCUCCCUUGACUGCGACGUGCUCCCUCCCUGGCCUGCCCCGCAGCCAACAUGCAUUUCGCGACGUGCCGCCGCUACCAGCAUUCUUAGUGAGUUACGGACUGUAUGCAGGCGCGCAUCAGGCGGAUUGCUGGCUUCCAACUGCGUGUUUCAUUCCGCUCCGCUGUUUCUUGCCUCCUUGCCCUGUGGCCGUGCGUCUUCAGUACCGUCGGACCAUCGCUCGGCGCCUGCGCACGAUCCGACGUAUCUGGGAUGACCAGCGUCCGUGGGGCGCCGAUCACGCGAAAUACAUUGGAGCUUCGCGGCCCUGCGCUCACCUCGCCCGCUGACCGACCGACGGCUACCAACCGCUCACGGUGUACGCCGUAGUAGGAUCAGAUUGGCCGUUCAUCGAUCAUCGACCGCCGAGAUAGUAGAAGGUGGAUGGAGGAGAGCCGCGCGUUCGAAGCAGACGACGAUCCCACAAGCGGCGACAGCACGGUAUGACACGCGUCGCGUAGUAGGCGAAGCGCAGGCUGGACGUAGUGCGCGUGUGCAGUACAGUGCCCGCCGUUUUGCCGUUCGCGUUUUGUUGUGCUACCGUCCUUCGGGAUCUAUCACUGUGCGCUCGCACGUCGGUUUGCUCGUACGUUCGCCUCGCCGUGGCCGCGUAACGACCGCCGAACGACAAUUGCGACGACGACGAUAACGCAAGGCCGCGUAGUUUCUAGCAGGAAGGUUCUAGAAAGAAGAAGCGGAAAACGCAGAACGGCCUAUUUGGGAACCGAUAAGUAGACCGCAAAUCUCGAUUAGAGGAAGACGGAAGCCGGAAAGAAGGGAAAAAGAGGACGGGAGUGGGAAAGCGGGCGAGAAAGGUGGCAAAGAGGGGCGGUUGGGUACGUUUCCGGAGGUGGAGACUUCCUGCCGCGCUCGCCGCCGUCGUGCCCCGUGCACGAGAUCCGUAACGAAGUCGCGCGCAUCGCGGGCGCAAUAGUUGGCGCGCUCGCGCUCCGCCGUGCUUUUUUCGCGGGCGCGCACGUGUGACGCAGCUGCGCUCUGGUCAGCCGCGUGGCCGGGUCGCGCGAACGGAUUCCGCGCGCGGAAUCUCUCGAGCGAGCACGGUAGGCUGGAGAGCCGCGCCGGUGGAUCUCCCGUAAUUGCUGGAUACAGUGUGUUGCGCGCGUGUGACGGAAGUCGGGGCCGCAGGUACCUUCAAUUUAUCCCGGGCGAUCAUUACGGGGAUAGGGACCGAAGGGACCGAGGGAGCGGACGAGAGAAGGUCUACGGAAGGAGGAAGGUUAGAUAACGGGAUCGCAAAAGAUAUCCGGAUAGCGACAUGAGGGGUUUGUUUUACGGUUAACGUAACAGGCGCUCCUCGGCCACGUGGAAUAACGAUAUAAUCGCCGUGGCUUUAUCCGACCGGAAUCGGCCAUCUGGAUCGGUUUCUUCAACGUCGCCGAGAGAUCACGAGCAGCGAUCGUUUCUCACCGUCGUGAGGAGGAAACCCAAGCGAGAUUCGCGCUUCUUACUGGUCGAUAAAAGUAAAAGCCCCAUGAGCACCAUGAAUAAGGACGAGGACCACGGAUCCGAGGCGGGCAACUCGAACGCGUCCUCGAAUUCGCAGCCCAAGAAGCGGAGGCAGCCGUGCUGCAUGCGAUGUGACAACCACGGGCUGGUCAUUGGACUCAAGCAGCACAAGAGAUACUGCAAAUAUCAGUUCUGCAAGUGCCCGGCAUGUCAGCUUACCGUCGAGCGACAGAGGGUGCAAGCGAGACAGACGGCUCUGAAGAGAGCCAUCGAGAUGGACAGGUCCAAGAAAAUUCUCCCUGUAGAGACGAAGCCAAUGCCGUUAGACAUGGACAUCUACUUGCUGAACUUGAGUAAAAAGCAGAGAACCGUGAAGAAAUAUAAGAGACCGGAGCCUCUCCCCGGGGACUCCCGAGAAAUGUCCGUCGUUCGACGAUCGGUCGUCUCAUUAAGACCGCAAUGCGAGGGCUAUCCUGUUUCCUCUGAUGACUCUCUCGGCGCGUUCGAGACUCGCCGCUCAGAUAACAUCGUGUUAAAUAAUGAAUGCCGCGCCGAGAGAGGCCGCUCGCUCGCGUUGAAAUCACUUAAACGCAAAUCACUCGAUGCGAAGAAAAACAGGUGUACGACUAAAAGAGACAUUAACGUUUUAGCGAGGUACUGUUUGGAGCAAUUGCGCCAUUUGUCCUACGUCCAGCCGUUUUCUCUCGCCCACACUCUCCUUAGAAUUAUCGACGACUUUGAUGAGUGCUCAAAACAAGACAUAAACGAAGCUAUGAGCCGCAUAUCUUACGCUACGAUAAUUCAUCUCCCGAAAAUUACUCGUCAAACUACUGUCCGGGACAUGAUUGUAGUAUUCAUAAUUAUGCAUUCGACAGAUCGAUUUUUAUUUAUCUAUUUUCUGUUUCCACCUUGAAUUGUUUACGCAAUCGUGAAAUUUUCAUUGACAUCGAUCUGCUCUUUUCAAAGUACUGAAAAAUCUAUGAUUUUCGAUAACGGCAUAUAUUUAGUAACAAAAUUGCCGUAAAAGUAACGAUGAAAGCAACAACGAGAAACUGUUUUUAAUUACACCACGGUGAAGAUACAUGUUCUGUAAAUUUUGUAAUCGAGACUAAUACACAACACAACUGGAAGAUAUAUCGGACAUUCGUGGAUAUCGCAGCGGUCAAUUAUAGUUGGCACAAGUGGAUCGGGCGUGUUCGUUUUCCAUUCUCGAGAGCUCUGCUAAUGGAGUGAAUCGACUUGAAUUUCAUUAAAAUUCGGCAUAUAAAUAUUUGAGAACCCGAGAAUGCACUGUUAUCCGCGCACGAACGUCCGAAUAAAUGACGAUCACGCUCGAGAUGAUCGUGACACGCCAAGAUAAUUAUGGGGGAGAUAAGAGGUGGUGGUAAGGGAAGUAUCAAUGGGGCAUCUUGCGGUAUCCUCGUCUCGGAAGAAAACUUUUUGGUCCCAUCACGGAAGAUACCACCUCGCCGAAGAACGCGUAAACACGAGAACCUGUUUGGUAUCGCGCUGUGAGAUGCGCUUCAAGUAUGCAAGUAUCCCACGACGAGCGCGAGUCCUACAUACGCCCGACGUUUUUAUAAUUUCGCUGCCGACUUGUCUUCUCUCUCUCUCUCUCUCUCUCUCUCUCUCUCUCUCUCUCUCUCUCUCUCUCUUUCUCGCGGAGUGAUACGCUUCGCAGAAAAUUUCUCGUCUGCUUUCGCACGCACGCGAGUCCCAGCGAGGAUCAUGUACACCUGAAGAUCACAUCUUUCUGCACCGGAAAAUAUUGCAAAUGAGAUACUUGUGCUGCUCGCUCAAGUUGCCAACAAUUUUAUACAAUUCUACAAUCGGAAUUGUCAAGGAGCAACAGUGUCCAGAUCAUAUCGACAUUUGAAGAACGCCGUUUGUCGCUCACACUGCAUUUCACAACUGGUUUCCGCAUAUUUCACAAAAUUAUAUAAAUAAUACGCAGUGAAGCAAGUCUCAGUAGUGAGAUAAAUACAUUUCCGGGUAUCUUGCCCCGUGACGAAUGUGUAAAGCGACGUGGAGGUGUAAAGGUGCGACUGCACCUCGACGAUGGAACCUGCCGCUGAAGAAGGGUCAUGAAGAUCAAUGAAUUGCGAGAAUCCAGCUUGAGUGAUUCGUGUGGUUGGUGCACUUUAUGCGCGGCUAAAUCGGUACGAUCGUGCUCGUACGCUCUGACGUACAAAGUAACGUGCGUUACCGUAGCCACUUAUCGCUUAAAAUACUCUCCGUCGAGCGCGCGUGCACGCUCCAAGUGGGAGUCGUUACCGGAUAUUUCUGCAAUUAUAAUAUAAUGUAGCGGCGAUUACACGACGUCCCUGCUGCCGACUACUAAAUUCCGCCGCUGGAUACCGGCCAACCGAAAAUGAUUUUCGCCAUUGCGUCGCUGGUCUUUUCGGUCGUCACUCUCAAGGUCGCCGUUUGGAAUCAGCCGAUUCCAAGCGCGGAAGAUUUGCAAUCCCACACACGCAAAUGAUGAUUUUAAAAGCAUUCGGAAAGAAAACCGAUCAUUGAAUCAAUUCGCUUCAAGAUCGACGAACACCUCGAAGAUUCGAGUUUCGGUGGCAAAAAGGGCACCGAGAUCGAGCGAUAAAUGAAGUAGAUCCGGUCGUGGAUUAUCCCGAAGCGAGAGAAGCGGCCCAAGGCGUCGGAGAAAGUAAUCUCGGAAACGGUGAAGGAAUACUAUCUCCGGUACUACUACUACUACCCGAUACUGCCGCGCCCCCUAGAAACACCGACGUAUGAGGGGUUGUAUC